rnacentral:lncRNA from 1 species
AUCAAAAAAUGUGCAAGAUGAUUACAGAUAGUGUACAUACUAUGGAUCACAUCUAGGUUGGCUUUUGCAUCUUAUUGAGUGAACUUGUAAGCUCUGUCCUGGAUAGGAGGUCUGGCCUAGUUCUGAUUCCUUGGGCACUCUCUCGCGUAAUGUUGGGCACUCCUACAUAUACGGAAAGUAUUGUUGAGGUAAUAGCAAAGUCAGUCCCCAUGAUUCUUGCUACAGUGCUGGUAAGUGCUAUCUUGUCCUGUUGCCAGAAUCUUAGGAGGAGCCUGAGUCACUGGCCUAAGUCUCUUAUUUCUGUUGAACAGGUACAGUGGGUGCUGGUCUGCGAUGUGAAACCGGAGGCCUGAGGUUCCCUAUUGCUGGAGGAAAAAUGUGAAGGGUCAUCUCCACUAGUUGUGCCUUGCCCAAAAUGGCUGAGUAAGUACUGAACUCGAACACAUACAGUUGUUAUCUAAUCUCAAGACAGAGGCCCCACUCAAACU